rnacentral:rRNA from 1 species
ACAUAUCAGUAAGCGGGAGGGAAAAGAAUCUAAGCAGGAUUCUCCUAGUAACGGCGAGUGAACGGAGAUUAGCCCAUCACCGAAGUCUAUCCGCAUUUGUGGACAGGACAAUGUGGUGUUUAGGCGUGUACCUGGGAGCGCUUGCCUACUCGAAGUCCAUCUCCGAUUCUGGCUUGGACUGAGCCCAUAGCGGGUGAAAGGCCCGUGCGGGUAGGCUGUGAUUGUUAAAGCGUUCCUCAGAUGUGCAUGCCUUCGAGUCGGAUUGCUUGAGAAUGCAGUCCAAAGUGGGUGGUAAACUCCAUCCAAGGCUAAAUACUGGCACGAGUCCGAUAGUAGACAAGUACCGUGAGGGAAAGUUGAAAAGUACUCUGAAGAGAGAGUAAAUAGCACGUGAAGCCGCUUGCAGGGAAGCUGGUGGAGUCAAGCUUCGUGUCGGUAGAAUUGACAUCAGGGGACAUUGUGUCUCGGGAUAUGGCGCGAGAGAGCCUGGAAACGGUUUGGUGCACUCACCUGCACUUCAAGUCAUUCCGGGUAGUGUGAUUGAACUCGUGCCUAUCUCCUACCUCUGGUGCUUUAUUCUGCCUGAUGCACAUCACGGUCAAUAGUGGACAGAACUCGUACUGCGUGAAUACUUAACCGUGCUUUGGUGGAUCUAACCGUCUGCUGGGCAUGGAAUGGCAGAAGGCAUGUUCGGGCCUCGGCUCGCACUAUGCGUAUACUGGUUUCGACCUGCUAGUGUUCAUGUACUGUAUCGGCCCUAUUGUUUCUAUGCGUGGCUGGCUCUUCGGAGCUGGUCAUACUGAGAGCCGUGAUGCUGAGGUAGACUUUCCACCCGGACCCGUCUGUG